rnacentral:lncRNA from 1 species
AAUGCAGAGCUGAAUUCUUGUCCAGAAAGAAGUGGCAAAGAGCAGCUGGGUUUCACCUGAAGGAUGGGCUGAGGAAGAUUUUCAGGUGACAGUUGGAACUUUUUAAUCCAUGGUACUAAAAGAAAAGCCCUGGUCACCAAGCAACUGAAGUCAGAUAUGUAAAUUAUACAGCUGAUUUCCAGAGGUGGGCAGAUACCCCACAGUGCCCAGCAAAGUCCCAGAGAGAUGAGUGGUGAGAGGAGGAAAGGAUAAACCCCCACAUGGUGGUCUCAGCACUGUAAGAGCUUUCCACAUUAUCUGCAAUCACCAUGGAGAAAAUGGGUCUGGGUGUGCAUGGUUUCUGUAUAAAGAGUGCAUCUCCAGCACAUUCUGAAGAUGUGAGUGGUUGUGACCCUGCUGGUGUGGUGGGAAGGGCUCUUCUGCUGGAGCCAGUGGCUGGAAACAACCCUGGGGUUCCAUGGGCACAUCCCAGCCUGGCCACAGGCGUCACUAAUGCACUGCUCCAGUGGCCUUUCCUGGGGGACAAGGGCACUGGCACUUCAGGAACUGAAGCUGCUCCUCAAGGAACAGAAACUUCCUCUCCUCUCAGCUCUGCAGAAGAGUGAAAGUUCCUGGUUCAGGCCUUGGAAAUAAUGAGGUGAAAGAGACCCCAUUAAAACUUCCCCAAAACAGGAUGAGAUAUUCUCUUACAUGACUGGAAAAUGGGCAAGCACAGCCUGCCUGGACAGGCCCCUGCUCUCAAAGAGCCAUGGAAAGGCUCCUGGGUCACAGGAGAGCUGGGAAUUCAACAUGAACUAGCCUGCUGGGGUGCUGGGGAAAACCCUAAUCAGCCAAAAUGCAGCUAAAGACACUGAGCACACUGGAAAGGGUUUCUGCAGGUGCUUCUGCAGGGUUUUGUCCCCCCAACAGAAGCAGGCCCACGGCAGGAUGAGCUGCUGCAGAGAGCAGGAGGAGCAGCAGCUCCAGGCUCGGGGAGUGUGGGCUGCCUCAGGCUCCAACCCAAACUGUUUGUGCUGGAAGGAGCUCAGGUUCAGUCCAUCAGUGCCUCACCUUGCUGGGCACACAGCUCUUUGUUUAGAAACCUAAACAUAGAACCAGGGCCCAGCUUCAGAUAAUCAGAAUUUUACCCUCUCUACAAAUACCUUCCAAAACACAAGUUACCACCCUGGGACCAAUAGUUGGGUUUUGUUUGUUUGUUUAUUUGUUUUGGGGUUUUUUGUUUUGUUUUUUUGUUUAACCCCAACUCUGAUUAAUUGACUGAAAAGAUUCUCAGUACCUUUGCCAUUAAUUAAAAAAUAAACAUCUUGUCACCCUCUCCUAAGGAAAAACG